rnacentral:lncRNA from 1 species
AUUUAAUUGCAAAAAGUUCAGAAGAAGAUUGAUGAAACUGACAAGGACAAACAAUAAGAUAAAAGAAGAUUCAAUAAUAUUAGAAGAGAUAAAGGCAACUUGCGAUCAUAAGUAUGCUUCCAAGAAGCUAAUACAUGCACAACAAUGAUUGAAAAAAAUGACCAAUUUAAAAAGAUGAGGCUUAAAGUCACACGUCUGGACCUAAAUUGAUCACAUAACAUAAGUUUGGAAAGCAACCCAAGCAGGUUGGACCAAAUUAUAGGUCAAACUACACUCACCUAAGGCAUUACACAUCUAGGCAAAACCUUCCCAAGCACAGCCUAGCCUCAAUCCACUGAACUUGGUUCAGUGUGGGUUUAGGUUAGUUGUAUGAAAAUGUCCAUUCUGAUGUUUAAUGGCAAGUGUUCAAAGAAGAAUUGAGACAAUAAGCUAUCCAUUCCUCCAUGAGACAAUAACUCAUGCCAAAAUUGAAGAAAUAUCUUUUCUCCAAAACCAUACGUUUAAUGAAUAUCAAUGCCACAGAGUUACAGAAUAGACUAAACUGAGGCUGCGGUUGAGUUUACGAAAUAGAUACUCAACCUCGGUCAAUACAAAUGUCAGAUUAACAACCUAAACUAGAAAAGCUCAGGUUCAGGUCAUGCUCAGAUUAGGAUAAGCUCAGGUUCAGGUCAUGCUCAGAUUAGGAUUUAAGGCAGUUGACACCUUGAUAUAUGAAGUCUGCGAUGCUAAGAAUCAGGCCAAUAAUAACAUAACCACAUUGUUUGUAAUAACCACAGCAGAAGACCUUCAAAUCUUAAUGAGGGCAAACAAAUGCCUUACUUCAUUUUUUAAGCAGAUAGAAUAAAAUA